AUUGAACGCUGGCGGCAGGCCUAACACAUGCAAGUCGAGCGGUAACACAGAGGAGCUUGCUCCUUGGGUGACGAGCGGCGGGCGGGUGAGUAACGCCUGGGGAUCUGCCCGAUAGAGGGGGAUAACUACGGGAAACUGUAGCUAAUACCGCAUAAUGUCUACGGACCAAAGUGGGGGCGCUUCGGACCUCAUGCUAUCGGAUGAACCCAGGUGGGAUUAGCUAGUUGGUGAGGUAAUGGCUCACCAAGGCGACGAUCUCUAACUGAUUUGAGAGAAUGACCAGUCACACUGGAACUGAGACACGGUCCAGACUCCUACGGGAGGCAGCAGUGGGGAAUAUUGCACAAUGGGCGCAAGCCUGAUGCAGCCAUGCCGCGUGUGUGAAGAAGGCCUUCGGGUUGUAGAGCACUUUCAGCGGGGAGGAAGGGUCACUAGUUAAUACCUAGUGGCAUUGACGUUACUCGCAGAAGAAGCACCGGCUAACUCCGUGCCAGCCGCCGCAGUAAUAC
rnacentral:rRNA from 1 species